UGAACUAUUAUAUUAUGAUUAAAAAAAUGACGAGAAAGCUAAAAAAGUAGGGUUGAUAAAGCAGGGACCAACAAACAGGAGAAUAUAGCUAUGUGGUCGCAAAUGUCUUGGCUUACUUUGGACUGGAACCAAUAUACCCACAACAAGGGUAUAAAAAUAUUUUCAAAAUUAUUAUGUGAUUGUGGUGUAAAUACAAAUGUAUAGUAAACGAGCCUACAUUUACGAGUGUUA
rnacentral:sRNA from 1 species